UGGUUUAAUUCGAUGAUACGCGAGGAACCUUACCUGGACUCGAAUGCGCGUGACCGUGCCAGAGAUGGCACUUCUCUUCGGAGCACAAAGCAAGGUGCUGCAUGGUUGUCGUCAGCUCGUGCUGUGAGGUGUCGGGUUAAGUCCCAUAACGAGCGCAACCCCUAUCAUUAGUUACCAGCGAGUUAAGUCGGGGACUUUAAUGAAACUGCCCGUGUAAACGGUGAGGAAGGUGGGGAUGACGUCAAAUCAUCA
rnacentral:rRNA from 1 species